AUUGAACGCUGGCGGCAUGCCUUACACAUGCAAGUCGAACGGUAACGGGCCUUCGGGUGCCGACGAGUGGCGAACGGGUGAGUAAUACAUCGGAACGUGCCCGAUCGUGGGGGAUAACGAGGCGAAAGCUUUGCUAAUACCGCAUACGAUCUACGGAUGAAAGCAGGGGACCGCAAGGCCUUGCGCGGACGGAGCGGCCGAUGGCAGAUUAGGUAGUUGGUGGGAUAAAAGCUUACCAAGCCGACGAUCUGUAGCUGGUCUGAGAGGAUGAUCAGCCACACUGGGACUGAGACACGGCCCAGACUCCUACGGGAGGCAGCAGUGGGGAAUUUUGGACAAUGGGCGCAAGCCUGAUCCAGCCAUGCCGCGUGCAGGAUGAAGGCCUUCGGGUUGUAAACUGCUUUUGUACGGAACGAAAAGCCUUCUUUUAAUACAGGAGGGUCAUGACGGUACCGUAAGAAUAAGCACCGGCUAACUACGG
rnacentral:rRNA from 1 species